UUACUUCUAAGUUUGAGUCUGCUGCUUCCUUCAUGGUGAGUGUUGCUUCUUCAUAUUUCUCUUCAUCUUCUUUGUUGUAGAAUUCCAGACAACAACUCCAGCUUAAAUAUAUAACCUGCAAACAGCCCAUGAAUCGUUUAAAUAAAAAAAAUAAAAAUAAAAACGAAAGAAAAACGAUCCUGAAAAUCAAGAGUGAUACCUACACUUUUGAGAGAACACGCAUCGGGUUUCAGAAUGAAAUCUUUUCCAUUUGAUGAGAGAAUUUGAAAAAAUAAAAUAAAAAGAGGGAUUAGAAAAUUAGGGAUUAAAGUAGAUUGAAGAAAAUUGGGGAUUUCAAAAACGAAGAGUAAGAGUUUGAAAUUACCUGCUCCGUCAGAAUGAAAAUCAGCCCAGCAACAUCCAUGAGAUUCUUCUUUGGAAGGAAAAUCGAGUUCAUCAAGUGAAGAAGGUUGUGGCUUUGGUGUUUAGAGAGGGAGAGAGAGUUUGAAAUUUGAAAUUUGAGAAUCUGUUUUUCAAUAUGAGUCAGCCAAAUUUGUUGGUAAUGAAAGUGACUUGACACUGUUCCUUUGGUAAGAAUGAAAGGGACAGCUGCUUCUCAGAAGAAGAAGUUGCAUGGAUUUGAAAAAUAAUG
rnacentral:lncRNA from 1 species